UAUAUAUACAAAGAGAAAAAUGUAGCAGCUGUUAUAGAGUUCUUUUAACUGUAAUCUCAUUAUGAAGGUUGGUGUGUUAAUAGUGUUGUGCAUUCUGGCUUUUUGCUGUGCAGUCUCGUCAGGUGUCCAAUAUUUUACCUACACAGAUAGUGCAGGGAGAACAAGGACUUUCAUAUGCACACGAUACUGUAUGUUCAACUCAACCACCCGAAGGUGGAUUAUUCCCAUGGCUAACUGCGUGAAAAACAAAAACCUUGGAUGCCAAGUUUGUCGAAAAGCUGGUUAUUGUGGAAAUACUGGAUCGGUCUUGGACGUUGUACCGACACCAGCAAUCACAGUUGCGUAGAACGUCUUCUAAAUGCAUCUGUAGCAUAGAUAUACCUGUAUCUUUUAUUGUGAUGAACGCAAUGUCAUAUACACAGACACUUUCCCGUUGUGUGUUGAAUUCCGUAAUAAAAUUGUUUUGUGCGUGCACGUUA